UUGCUUUUUUUAAUUGAAAAUGAUUUUGAAAUAGUUGCUUGGUAAUAGCUAUCUAUCUAUCUAUCUAUAUUUUUUAUCAUAAUAUGGCCAGGGCACAUACAAAAAGUUACUGGUGAAAUUAAGUAUAUAAAAAUGUGAGUCAUGAGUACUCUUAACAUAGCCAUACAUUUACCAAAUACCUUAAAAAGGGGCUGUCUUCUUUAUAUAAAGCAGUUUAAGGCCAUGGUGAUAGGCAUGGUGGUGGCAGUGAUGACACCAAAGUUGAUGUUAAUGACAGCCCCUACUGCUAACCACAUGUAUUGAAUAUUUACCAUGUAUGAGGCAUUUCAAAUAUAACUACCCAUUUAAUUCUUGUAAAAUCCUAUUAACUUAGUUAUUAUUCUUUUGCUCACUCUUUGAAUAAGGAAUUAGGUUUAGGGAAGGAACUAAAUUGACUAUUAACCUAGAACUCAUAGUUGAAAGAGCUGGUCUUAAACCCAGAUUUCUAUGGAGUAUAUAUAACAAUCUACUGGGAAUCAAACCAACAGGAAAAAUACAAAAUUGAAUCAUAAACAGAAUCAAAUUUAUUUUGACUAUCCACACAAUUUUAUAAAAAUGCAUUUUGAAUGUAAUCCUAUCUACUGCAAGCUCAUGGACAAUUAAGAAGUAAUCGGUGCUACUUUUCUAGUGAGAUGAGGGAUGUCACUUCCUACGCCACAGUCACAGCAAUGCCAGGUCCAAGCCACGUCUGCAACCUACACAAUAGCUCGAGGCAACACAGAUCCUUAACCCACUGAUUGAGGCCAGGGAUCAAAUCGUCAUCCUCAUGGAUACUAGUUGGGUUCCUUACUGCUGAGCCACAAUGGGAACUCCACAUUUUCUUUUUAGUUGAACUUAUUUUAGCAUGUGAGACUGCAAAGUGUCUAUAGAUCAAUGUGUAACAGGAGUUAGGUAGUGAGAAGCUAUAUUUAUAAAGAUUGCUUGAAGGAUAAGCAGUUCAUGCAUCUCUUUGGGUAAUCUCGCAUUUGUUUCUGGAUCAAUAUGACAACCAGAAAGCUGCACAAUUUGACUACAUUUGUCAUCAUUCAUAUUGUUGCUUUUACUUUGGUAUUCAUGUAGGUUUUUUUUUUAAUGUCUCAUUGUAAUUUCUAUUUACUACAGAGGAUAUACUUGAGGUCUUAAUCCAAAUAAAGGUACCUGGAAGAUCUUUGUCUCAGAUCAUUUUUAGGAAGUUUAUUGAUCCUGAGGAUAUAUUUUUGUUUUAUGAACCAAACUACUCUUAUAAAGAAUAAUAUUUCUCCCUUGCUUUGGCAACUAGAAAGUUUGUCACAUUUCUUGCCCUCUUUGAAUUAUCAUACAUGGCUUUAAAGCUUGUCUUUCUGCAUAUAGCACACUUUGACCUCAUUUCAUUAUUUUUCUACCAUUAUCUUUUCACUCUGUUUUUUUGCCAUUAUAUUAUUGCAAUUCUAUGUUUCUGGCAAACAGCUUCAUUUUUUAAUGAAGGAAUUUUAAUAUAAAUGCUUCAGAAUACUUGGAGUCUUAUUCAUGAAAAAUUCUAUACAUAGGCAAACCUUAAAAGUCCAAAAACAGCCUUGAGGAUACAAGAUUGGAAAUUUUCAUGGUGGUCAAGAAAAAAGUACAAAUAGAGACUACAGGAGUCUCCUGUGUCAGGAUAUUAUUUAAUUAUAUUCUUUUGUGUUCCUUACUAUGAAAAAGGAGAAGCAUGAUGCAAAGAGAAGGCAGAUGGAAAACAAGCUAAACCCAAUCAAUUUGCUGAGACUAUAGUCCUUCUCUUCAAAUCUCAGACAUCUUGGGUUUUCUUGACACUAAACAUUCCUUAUUUUACCUUCAUUUUAGGAAUAAUUACGGUAAAUAUAUGGUUGCCUAAAGGAUUGUAGUAAGUCAAAGCAGUUGUUAAAAGCUAGUUGCAAAAAGGGCUUCUCUUCUCAAGCAUCAGAACUUUGGAAAGAUAUUGUGACCAUGACUAGGACCUUGGUCAUAACAAUUGUUUUGAAAUAUAGAAAAGAAACAUUUCACGUACUAAAUAAUUUGCACCUUUUAUUACAGCUUUUGAUUCAAAGCACCUAUAGAAUCAACUCAGAUCUGAUUUCUUGGUUUACUAAAGUCAGGUUAAAAACCUAUAAAUGAAACUUGAAUAUCUUGUAUAUUCACACAUCAUCAUCAGUUUCCACCAUGUAAUACUCAUUGGUCACUGUACUGGCUAUCUAUUGCCACAUGAAUGCUGCAUCACAGACAACUUGGUGGCCUACACAGAGACAUUAAUUAGCUUGUGUGUAAGUUUUAGCUAAAUUAGCCCUGGCUCGUUCAUGCAUCUAUGUCAGCUGCAGGUCAUCCAGGCAGCACUGCUGUUACUGUCAGGGCUCAUAGACUUACAUGGAAGUUGUCUGUUAGCUGAUCUAGGACAGCCUUCUCUGGGAUGACUUCAGUGAGCCAUCCCCCCUCCCUUUUUUUGGUUUAGGAAGUUUACUGAUGGGAAAGUUCCUGGGCAGGGAUCAAACCCAUGCUACAGGAGCAACCCAAGCUGCUUCAGUGGUAAAGCUAGAUCCUUUACCCGCUAUGCUACAAGAGAACUCCCUGGCAUGUUCUUAUCAAAAUGACAGAGGUACAAAAGAAGGUAAGCUGAAUUCAAAAAGUAUCUUUCAAACCUCAUUUUGGUCACAUUUGCUGGCUUCCUACCAACCAAAGCAAGCCAGUGGCUGACGGUAGAGUCAGAGGAGGAGGGCACUCCAGAGUUACCUAGCAAAGAGAAUUGACAUAGGGAAAAGUGAAGAAUUAGGGCCAUAUUGCAAUGGCUCCAGCACAGAGUUCUGUUCUAUCUACCUUUUAGGACUAGAAAAUGAUAUAGUUCAUGCUCUCAUAGGACUCAUGGAUCUAGUAAUGCCUAAUUAAUCUUCCCCAUGGGAGGAGAAUUUCUUGACCUUAUUAGUGCUGUCAGAAAUGAAUGUUACCUAUGCUUGUCUUCCUUUCCAUCCAUGCAGGAAUUUUCUUUUUUUUGGGGGGGGGGGUGAGUUUUAUUUGCCUCUUUUUUUUCAUGGCUUGAAGUAUUACCUGACAUUAUUUAAUGACAAGUAUAUAGUAAUGUUCCCUUGAAUGUUGGAGUGUUGUAAGGAGAUAAAAGUGAAAAUGAAAUGACAAAGGAAAUGAGCCAGAAAAUAAGACCUCUGGAUAAUUAAAAUUCAGGGCCCAAGCCAAACAGGUAAAAAUCUUUUAGGUAGAUUGUAUAAAUUCAGCUUAUUAUAGAUGUAAAAAGAAAACAAUUUUGAGGUUUCUUAUCACCAUGAACAGCUGCUAGACCUCCAAAUGGAAUUUCCUAAUGAGUAUGGAAACAAAGUCUGUUUGUUUCUUCCCCAGCUUACUCUGCAUUUGCCUGGCUGCUGACCAGCACUGACCAGCUGCAGCUCUCAGUUCUGCAGCCAGCUGGUCUUGUUGCUGACAUUUGAGUUUGGAAGGAGUUCAUACUUCUUUCUAAAUAUUCUAGGUAUUAUCCCUUAUUUAUACUGUACCUGGGUUGAUCCUAAAAGAAAAUGUCAAAAUCUCCCUGGUCUUUGUGUAAAACAGAAUGACACACUUGGAGGGUUCCAUUCAGGAGAACACAGAGGCCAUCUGUCCCUUCUUCUGUGUUUGUGAGAAAUGUGGAGAUUGUGAAGCUAAAAUCUACAUUUCCAAGGUCUUUUUGCAGAAUGUUCUUGAUGUGAUACAGUGCAUCCAAUUAGGUUGGGACAUAGAAGGAAACAGAGCCAUACUUUUGCAACUGCUGCUAUGACUGCUGGAAAGUUUAGUCAGGAAAUUUCUGGGAUUGUCUGUAGCUACUUUAGCUGGAGAGCAAUUGUAGAAGCCACUGUGAACGGUGCUCAGGUGUUGGAAGUUUCACAUGAGCAGUUGUCAGGUGUUGGAAACAUUGAUUUAACUUCUCAAUCUCCAUUAUCACUGACAAACACAGAGGAAGAAAGGGAAAAUGGCCGCCUUACGUCUCCUCAGUAAGACCUUCCAAGCGCUGCUUCCCGGGUCUUAUUAGGUGUGUGACUUGAGAGGCAGGGUGUGGUCAACCGUGCCUUCCCGAUUUCAGGACAGACGCUAUGACUGUGCAUGUGUGGAGCACAUUCCACAAUUUAUGGUGGGACCCAAGAGGAAGAAACUCUUGCUAGUGGAGGUCAUUACCAGCUGCUUAAGGAGCACUGACCUGUCUCAAGAAGGAAGAUAUUUUCUGCUGAGAAACGCCAAGAUAUUUUCCCUCAUUCCUCACUCUAUCACCAUGACACCAAAUUGCUGCUCUGAAGUGACUCUUACCACAGAAAGCAAUGUGCUAAAGCCAUGGUGGAUAUCCCCUUCUCAAAUUGUUCUUCAGGUAUAUGAAUUUCAUAUCUUUUUAAGGACCAAUGAUUCAAUAAAGGAAGAAGAAAAGGUUGUGUAUUUCAGGAUGCAGAGAUAGAAGUAAAAGAUGAUAAUGAAUUAGAUUAUUCUGCAGUGGCAGAUGUGUUAGAUAUAAGUGUAUUGAUUUAAGAUGUGAUUUAUACGUACAGCCAAGCUGGCACUACUUGGUUAGGGACCUGAAUAGUCAGUGAGGGAAAGGAAGUAUGCCACUGCAUUUUUAUGGAGAAUUACUUGAUUUUUAAAAAGUUCUCUUUUCUUUGGUGCACUAGAAAAAUAGAAUAUAAAUAUUUCCCUUUAUUCCUAGGAGGAAAUUAAUUGUUCUUAUGAAUCUAAUGAAUUGGACUGUGUUUAUAAGUUGUCAAUGUAUAGGGUGAAAGUAAAAAAACAAAACAAAACAGAGUAUGAAGUUUCCCAGGAAGAAAUAGGAGGUAAGAAUUUUUAUGGGAAAUACAGAUGCUGAAUGUCUGAGGGCAGGAGGAAGAUGAAACAAGGAGCUAUUAAAGAUCCCAUGAGUUUGGGAUCCAAUUGUAAAAUAUUUUCCCUAAACAAUGUACUUUGGCUUAAAAGUGAAGGACUAUGAACAGACUCACUACAAGGUACUUUGUUCAAGUGCCCCAGGAGAUAUUAGAGCAAAGUCCUUUUUACUUUUUUUCCAUGUUUUUUUUUUAUUUAUAAUUUUUAAUUAGAUUUUAUUUUUCAGAGCCGUUCUAAGUUCACAGCAAAAUUGAAAAGAUAUAGAGCUUCCCCAUUUACUUCCUUUCCCUUUGCAUGUGUAGUCUCCUCAUUAUCAAUAUUCCCCACCAGAGUGGUACAUGUGUGACAAUUGAUGCAUCAUAAUCACCUAAAGUCCACGGUUUGCAUUAGGGUUCACUCUUGAUGCUGUACAUUCUAGGAGUUUAGACAAAUGUAAGUGACAUAGAUCUACCAUUGUAGUAUUUUACAGAGAAGUUUCACUGCCCUAAAAUUCCUCUGUGAGGAAGCUUUAAUUAGGAAAAAUGGGAUGUUGGGGUGAACAAUUGUUUAGAAAGCUCUUGACUCCUGUUUGAGAUCCCUCUUCACUGCACAACUGCUGCAGAGCCCCCAGUACCUGAAGCCAGUACAGCUGUCGCUGGGGUAGAGACAGGCCCUGGCAGAGCUCCCUGGAGAGGGCAUCCUAACCUGGUUGCUCCCACUGGUCUUUCUGUGACCUACUGCAGCUAGGGGAUUCACACCAGUGCCUGUUUCAGAAGGUUCUCUAGCCAGUUCAGCCUGCAGCAGACUUUCUGCUCCUUUCCCUGGGAUACAUGCAUCUACAGCAGCUCCUGGGUACAUGGUCCCAGUGGCAGGCCUGAUGGUCAUAUUAAGCCAGUUCCAGCAUUGGAGACUACACAAGUCUGAGGCGAAUAGAGGUGGCCUGUGGGAGGAAUAGGCGCUGGCCUUCCCUGUGGUUAGUCCCAACAUGUAACCAAGGACUCUGGGUCUCGAGCUCAGUAGGGAAUCCAAUGCAGGUGGCAGAUGCUUGGUAGGACCAUGGCCAGAAGCUUCAAAGACAGCGGGUGGUAGUGUCCCAGCAGAGUACCCAUCAGAUAGCUGGAAAGAUGCCUUAGGUAUUUGUUUUUUUUAAUUCAAGGUAACACUUGUUCAAAUCUAAAUAAAAUUAGAAAAUCACUUUACAUUUUGCUUAUGAAACAAAUACGAUUCAAAACUGUUUUAUUAUAAUAUCACCAAAUUUUAAAUCAGAUGGUAGCAUGGAUAUUUAUGUUUAAUAACAGUACUUAAGAUUAGAAUGAUAUUUAGUUUGUCUUGCUUUUCGAGGGCAUACAAAAUUUACAGCAUAGGGAAGGUGUUGUACUGGCUUGAGUUUGCUGGAAAUUUUUUUCUUUUAUAAAAAUUUUUAAAUUUUAUUUUUUCAUUGAGGUAUAAUUGACAUGACAUUAGAUUAGUUUCAGGUGUACAACAUAAUGGUUCAAUAUUUGUUUACAUUGCAAAUUGUUUACCACAAUAAGUAUAGUUAAAAUCUGUCACUAUGCAUUGUUAUAAAAUGUUUUUUCUUUUGAUAAGAACUUUUAAGAUCUAAUCCCCUAAGCAUCUUUCACAUAUGCACAGUAUUAUUAACUAUAGUCAUCAAGCUUAUAUUACGUCCUCAUGACUUAUUUUUUAUAUCAGGCAGAAUGAUGCCUCCAUCUUUGGUCUUUUUUCUCAGGAUUCUCUUGGCUCGUUUAGAUCUUGUAGUUCCAUAUGAAUUUUAUAUUAUUCUAUAUCUGUGAAAAUAUGAUUGGCAUUUGGAUAGAAAUUGCACUGGAUCUGUAGGUUGCUUUGGUUGGAAGAGAGAUUUUAACAAUAUUAAUUUUUAUAAUUCAUGAAAAAAUAUCAUUACAUUUUCUUGUGUCUUGUUCAGUUUCUUUCAUCAGUGUUUUAUAGUUUUCACUGUGCAGGCCUUUCACUUCCUUAAAGUUUUGCCUAGGUGUUAUUCUUUCUAGUGCAAUCGUCAAUUUGACUGUAUCAUUAAUUUCUUUUUCUUAUAGGUUAUUAUUAGUGUAAAAGAUGCCACAGAUUUCCAUAUAUUGAUUUUUAUAUCCUAACACUUUACUGAAUUUUGUUAUUAGUUCUAAGAGUUUUUGAUAAAGUCUUUAGUAUGUUCUAUAUAUAAAAUCAUGUCAUCUGCAAAUAGUGACCACUCUAUUUAUUUUCUGAUUUGGAUGUUUAUUCUUUUGUUGCCUAAUUGCUAUAGCUAGAACUUUAAAUAACAUGUUGAUUCAAAGUGGUGAGAGCAGGCAUCCUGUCUGUUUUCUGAUCUUAGAGGAAAAGAUUUCAGCUUUUCACCAUUGAGUAUAAUAUCAGCUGCAGGCUUGUCAUUUGUAGCUUUUAUUACCUUGAGGAAUAUUCCCUCUAUACUCACUUUGCUGAGAUUUUUUAAACAUAAAAGAUGAUGAAUUUUGUAAAAUGCUUUUUCCGCAUGUAUUGAGCUGAUUAUAUAAUUUUUACCCUUUCUUUGGUUAAUGUGGUUUUUUACAUUGAUUGGUUUGCAGAUGUUGUAUCAUCCUGGCAUCCCUGAAGUAAAUCUCACUUGAUCAUGGUGAAUGACCUUUUUAAUGUACUGUUGAAUUCAGUUUGCUAGUAUUUUGUUGAGGAUUUUUGUAUCUAUGUUUGUCAAGAAUAUUGGCCUGCAAUGUUCUUUUUCGUACUGUCCUUCUCUGGUUUUGUGAUCAGACUAAUACUGGCUUUGUAAAAUAAGAUUGGAAGCAUUUUCUCCUCUUCUAGUUUUUGCAGGGGUUUGAGAAGGGUUGGUAUUAAUUCUUUGAAUGUUUGGUAGAGUUCACCUGUGAAGUCAUCUGGUCCUGGACUUUCAUUUGUUAAGAGGUUUUUGAUUAUUGAUUCA